AACAGAAAAAUUGUCUUGGAGUCUAAAAGACAUCUGAUGUGCUGAUACCUGUUCAGUCUUCUGCAGUCAUGGGCGUAAACUCUCAAAGAGCACCACUGGGUCUUAGUCCGUGGCAUAAACAUUAUUCUCAAUGUAGAUAUUGUCUUCUGCUUGGACUUCCUUUUUAACUGCAUUUUGCAAAGCUUUAGUUUGAAGACUGCUAAAUGAAACACUUAGUUGUUGAGUCUCCUCUUUGAAGAAAUACUUUUUGGCAAUGAUGACACCCAAAAGAGCAAGAAGCACCAAGACAGAAAUACAGACUCCAGCACAGAUUCCUUUAGUGGUGUUGACCAUCUGUGGACUAUAUGCUGGGGACAGUUGAGUUUGAUUGUUAUUCCAAAGGCCAUCUGAAGACUCUGUCAUGGUGUCAUUCCCAUCUGUUGUGAAAGAGUGCAAUGGUGAGCUGGUGGGUUGUGUCCUUAUUUCUCCCUGAAGUGUCAUAGGGUGGGUUUCUGCUGGCUGAGGUGAAGAUGGUGAAGUGGCUACUGAUUGAUGGUUCUGCGUGGGCAAUGGCAACAAUAUAAGCCACUGUCAGACACAGCUGUAUUUUCUAUAGUCAAAGGGACAUCCCUUCUUGAAAGGUCCCCCAAUACCUUAUAGUGUGUGUCCUUCCGAUAGGUGACGUGGGUUCCAUUGGUCCAGACAAUGCUAUUUCAGCAUGUGAAUAAAGAACGUGCGCCUCUAUUCCAGCACAUGGAUGUGACAGCUCCAUUGUAGUGGCAGGGUAGCGUGAUAGACGGACCUGCCAUUCCACCAACCUUUACAGAACCAGCUACAGAAUCUGCCAGAUGUAGGAUGAGGCUUAAGAUGGCCACUUCAGGAUACAUUAUGGGAUCAGCCAGUUAGUUAGAAGGCAGUUUUCCAGCUUCUUCUCCCUCCUCCUAGUCUCUGUUUGUGGACGGCUUUAAAUGGUUUUCCACCCUGGGUGGGCCAGGUGUUCCUUGCCCUCAUUCUGGUAAAUGCACAACCUCCCAGCAUGGGCAUUAUGGCCAUCAUGUACAUGUCACAGUGCUGCAAAGAUUUUGUUUAUGGCCAGUUUUGGGGCCAGUUUAUGGCCAGAUUUUGGGAGGCCUGUUCCCAACAAAUAAUAAUCUCUGAACAUAAGAAUUUGACUAGUGUUAAUCACUCCACUUCUCCAGUACACUGAUACUUCUCCCUUUUUCUUAGCAUAACACAAAACAGAUACAUGACUACACACCAUCUGCUCUCCAGUGCGGAACAGAGGAACAAAGGCAUAAGCAAGCUUCAGAACACAGUCAGCCAUGUUCACCACAUCUAUAUCUAGCACUGCUUAAAACAAAGUCAAUGAGAAACUGAGAAGAUGAGUGACUACCCUAUUUUCAGCACUUAUUGUCACAAGAAAAGAAAACAUGCCCACACACUGUCUCCUUCUAAGGCACAGCAUCCACUUUCCUGAGGAAAAAGUAACUUUACAGCAUAUAUCUCAAUCUCACAUUAUUAGCAAGAUGACACUGGCUUUGAGCACACAAAGAACAGGCAUAUUAUAGACACUCUUAAGACACAUCACAUGGCCUGGCUUACCUGAUACAAUUUUUAAUUUCUCUGAAGUAAACUCAAAUUUCAAACAUGUAUUUCUUUAUUAACUUAUUUCAUUAAUUUCCACAGGGACUUCACAGAAAGUAUAUUCAACUUUCAUUCACUUAAUCUUACCACAAUAGAUGGUGUAACAUAUCCAGAAGACAGCCAUAUGUAAGACAUGCUCAUACCCCAAAGCAUAGAAAACUUAACACAACAGGGCCUUGAGGAAGCAACACUAUAACAGUGCAAAUAUACAAAUAUUUAAGAAAACCUACAUCACCCAACAAAGAGCAUGUAUGGUCACCACUACCCAGCACUCUCCAAAAUAAGUAGCUAUGAAUAGCUUAUUCAAAUUUGGCUUAUAUAUACUUGUCACCACAAAUUGGUUCUGAACAUACUGUUCCAAUUUUGGAUAUUCACAACAAGGGUAAUUAUCUGGUAAGAUAUAUUUAUAAUAACUUGUAAUUAGAUUCCUAAAUGCACACAUAUACUUGUGUCACAGUGAGGUGAAAAAAACUCUGAGUUAUUUGUAGAGUACCUUAAGAUUUAAAUUUCCAAAAAACAUUCUUAAGCUUAGUUUUACAAGUAUUCCACCCAGCAUCUCUUCAGCAAGCUAUUUCAAUUUUAAAAAGUGAGGACUAGGGAGGGCUUUUAAAAGUUUUAUUUCUUUCUGUUCAGUUUAUCUUAUCCCAUACAGAAAUGGAAUAAAGUGUGAUGUCUGUCCUAAUGAUAUUUAUGGUUGUGGUAAUACAGAAAUAUCUAUGCUUCCAAGCAAGAAAUGAAAAAUUAUGGUUUCCCCAAAAUAGAGAAACCAGUGCUACCUGGGGCCCAAAGAGAUGUUCAGGUUACAUCUGUCAGAAUUGAUACCAUGCAAGACAACCAUCUUUGGAGAACAGUGGGGCUCACCUGAGAUUUUGGUGAGUCAUGUGGAUGACAUCAGAGACAAGCAUUACACAAAAUGAGCAUCCCAAUAAGACUUUCAUGUGAGAUUGUCUUAGAAGAUGGUGGCCCAACUCACACAGAAGAGGACGGCUGUGCAUCCAAGAGAGACUGAUAUUUUUUCUCAGGAGCAGAAAUCUUAAUGUAGGAGAUGGCCACUCACUGAGUAGUUGAGGAAUGCCCUGAUGGAACUCUCUGGGGGUCAGAUUUCACACUGUCUCCCUGAGUUGCAUAAAGCACAGAACAGCAUGCCUGCACUCCAGCUUCUAGCAUGUACCAACUCAGCAGAAAACACAUCACUGUCUAUUUUGUUUCAAAAAUGCUUUGCCAUUUAAAAAAAGUUAAUUAAUAUAGUAGAAACCCAAGAACUACCUAGGGGUAGGGAGCAUGUCUGUCAUCAGAAGUUUUUAAAUGCUGGCUAGACAAACACUCUGUGG
rnacentral:lncRNA from 10 species